GGAGGCGGCUGGGUGGAUCGGCUUACAGGCGGCUCCAAAAUAGGCCAGAGAAGUCUUGGAAUGAGGUGAAUUCAAUGCCAACAGACAGGGCUGACUUUGGUGUCGUCAGCGGACAAAUAAGGCCAAAUGGAUGCAGAGGAACGACCGGUUCAUCUUUGUGUUUGUUGGUGGCGGUGAAAGAAGAAGACAGACGUCCACCGGCUUUAUUCGAAUGACCCCCAAACAGAUGGGGUCAACUGAAACUCUGCUUUCUAUUAAUUUAUCCUCCAGCGACGUGCGGUUGGUGUAAACAUAUUUCCAAGUCAACACCUGGGACAGAAGGACCGUAACCCACCCACCUAAAGCCAUAUAUGAGCUCCAUGGGCUCCCAUCAAUCAGUCCACGAUACAACCAAGGCAUGUAUUUGGAGUUGAGUCGGCGCCCCUCCUCUCCUGCAGAUAUUGUCUUGAAGGUGAAAGGAGAGACAGAGGGAGCAGUCAAACACCAUAAAAACAAGACAGCUGUACAGACAGAAAUAGCAGCGCUGCCCCCCACCCAUCAUCACCACCACCAUUCUCUUCUGCAGCCAUUUUGAACCUGUUCUAACAUUUUGACACUCUUCACUGAUUACCUUGCUUUUUUAAAACACACUCAUAUUUAGCAUUGUUUGUAAUGUUAAACAUUUAUUGAAAUAUUUGGUGAAAAAUUGCCGGAUCUAAUCUAAAAUGUAAACAUCGCUAAUCUAUGACUUUUUGGAACAUUUUUUAGAGCGUCUAAAAGUAGAAUGGGACACACGUCACUUCAACGUUUUUACAAAAACAUUGGAAUAAAUCGUGGUUAUGUAGUCAUGUUUAGUUUACAAUACAAGCUGAUUGAAGAAGUUUUGCGUAAAAGAAAACCGUUGAACUUACCUAGCAUGUUGUAUGUAGCAACAGUGGAGACGAAACAUGCCACUUCCUGUCAUCGUCUUC